GCUGCUCCCGCUCCUGCUUUAAAUCUGAACUCCAUUUAAGCAGCUUCUGUUUCUCCUCUUCUUUCGCUGUAACAGAAAGGGGAAGGUACUUACACGCGGACCCUCCUAGAAGACACCUCACCACCGGUACCCACAUUCGAAUGGCCACCACCUUUGGACAUGGGUCUUAUCUCUCUCACUUUACAGAUGAAGAAACUGAGGCUUAGGAAGAGCUUUCUGGUGAAAAUGGACGGGCUUCCAUCCUGCAGCCUGCUGUUUCUGUUCGUGCUGUCAUGUGUGCCCACGAUGGCCUCCCUCCCCUCUGAUCUCUCUUUGGAGAUCUGCCACCAGCACUGGCUCUCUCAGGAAGUUUGCCCUGGUCUCCCCGGCUGGCAGCAAUCACUGACUUCUCAGUUUCUCACUUCUGCACAUUGCCUUGACAUAUCUGUCUCAUUCUGGUCAUCUGUAGACAGGUUUCCUCUUUUUCCUAACUAGGCUGUGAGCUCCUUAAUAGUGGGUACUGUAUGUCCUAUCCUAGCACCUAACGUUACGCCUUGCAUAUAGUAAUCACUCAAUCAGUGUUCACUUUGUUGAAUUCAAUUGAUGGUACUGAGUUUUUGGAAACUAUGGCUCUAGGUUAACAGGUUAACAUUUCUUGCUUCUUCACCAAACUUCUCAUCUCUUUCAAUUAAAAGCUUUUAAUUUUAAA